UGGUUGAUCCUGCCAGUAGUCAUAUGCUUGUCUCAAAGAUUAAGCCAUGCAUGUCUAAGUACAAGCCUUAUUAAGGUGAAACCGCGAAUGGCUCAUUAAAUCAGCUAUGAUUUAUUAGAUGUUGAACGUAUCUACAUGGAUAACUGUGGUAAUUCUAGAGCUAAUACAUGCAGAAAGACUUUGACCUGGAGACGGGAAAAAGUGCGUUUAUUAGACCAAGACCAAUGGGUUUAGUUGCAUCGCAAGGUGUGAUUUGCCCUAUUUGUUAUGGUGACUCUGGAUAACUGUAGCUGAUCGCAGGGCCUUGUGCCGGCGACAUAUCUUUCAAGUGUCUGCCUUAUCAACUGUCGAUGGUAGGUUAAAUGCCUACCAUGGUUGUAACGGGUAACGGGGAAUCAGGGUUCGAUUCCGGAGAGGGAGCCUGAGAAACGGCUACCACAUCCAAGGAAGGCAGCAGGCACGCAAAUUACCCACUCCCAGUUCGGGGAGGUAGUGACGAAAAAUAACAAAACGGGACUCUAAUGAGGCCCCGUUAUUGGAAUGAGAACAAUCUAAAUCCUUUAUCGAGGAUCUAUUGGAGGGCAAGUCUGGU
rnacentral:rRNA from 1 species